CCCUUAGAUGUUCUGGGCCGCACGCGCGCUGCACUGAUGCAUUCAACGAGUGUACCUUGGCCGAGAGGCCUGGGCAAUCUUUUGAACGUGCAUCGUGAUAGGGAUAGAUUAUUGCAAUUAUUAAUCUUGAACGAGGAAUUCCUAGUAAACGCAGAUCAUCAAUCUGCAUUGAUUACGUCCCUGCCCUUUGUACACACCGCCCGUCGCACCUACCGAUUGGAUGGUCCGGUGAAGCCUCGGGAUUGUGGCGGUUGCCUUUAUUGGUGUCCGCCGCGAGAACUUGUCUAAACCUUAUCAUCUAGAGGAAGGUGAAGUCGUAACA
rnacentral:rRNA from 1 species